rnacentral:rRNA from 1 species
UGAGGAAUAUUGGUCAAUGGGCGUAAGCCUGAACCAGCCAAGUAGCGUGAGGGAAGACUGCCCUAUGGGUUGUAAACCUCUUUUGUGCGGGGAUAAAGUGUGGGACGUGUCCCAUAUUGCAGGUACCGCACGAAUAAGGACCGGCUAAUUCCGUGCCAGCAGCCGCGGUAAUACGGAAGGUCCGGGCGUUAUCCGGAUUUAUUGGGUUUAAAGGGAGCGCAGGCCGUCCUUUAAGCGUGCUGUGAAAUGCCGCGGCUCAACCGUGGCACUGCAGCGCGAACUGGAGGACUUGAGUACGCACGAGGUAGGCGGAAUUCGUGGUGUAGCGGUGAAAUGCUUAGAUAUCACGAAGAACUCCGAUUGCGAAGGCAGCUUACCGGAGCGCAACUGACGCUGAGGCUCGAAAGCGCGGGUAUCGAACAGGAUUAGAUACCCUGGUAGUCCGCGCGGUAAACGAUGGAUGCCCGCCGUUGGGAUUUGGAUUUCAGCGGCCAAGCGAAAGCGUUAAGUAUCCCACCUGGGGAGUACGCCGGCAACGGUGAAACUCAAAGGAAUUGACGGGGGCCCGCACAAGCGGAGGAACAUGUGGUUUAAUUCGAUGAUACGCGAGGAACCUUACCCGGGCUUAAAUUGCAAAGGAAUAAUCUGGAAACAGAUUAGUCUUCGGACCUUUGUGAAGGUGCUGCAUGGUUGUCGUCAGCUCGUGCCGUGAGGUGUCGGCUCAAGUGCCAUAACGAGCGCAACCCCUGUCCAUAGUUGCCAUCAGGUCGUGCUGGGCACUCUGUGGAGACUGCCGCCGUAAGGUGUGAGGAAGGUGGGGAUGACGUCAAAUCAGCACGGCCCUUACGUCCGGGGCUACACACGUGUUACAAUGGGGCAUACAGCGAGUUGGAUGUGCGCAAGUACGUCCGGAUCAAUAAAGUGCCUCUCAGUUCGGACUGGGGUCUGCAACCCGACCCCACGAAGCUGGAUUCGCUAGUAAUCGCGCAUCAGCCAUGGCGCGGUGAAUACGUUCCC